AUUACAUACAAUUUUACCGUACACUUUGACAGUUUAUACAUUUAAAUAGACUAAAGAAACUAUAAUAUCAAAUUCUAAAGUUCACAACUGAAAACUAUAUUAUCUAAAAAACUUGGGGAGCGUUCCUUCAUAAAUAGUAACAAAAACAAAUUAAUUUGGUGUCUCUCAGUCUCUACGGCACACCGCUUACUGCAAAGCGUUCUCAAAUUUUCCUUUCAAGGUAUUUGAGCCUUCGUUUUCUUCUUUUGAAUUUAAUUCUGAAUUCGCAGUAAUUUUCUAUUUUAAAUUUUACGAUAGAUCUAUCUGCUCUUGCACCAUAGUUUUGUGACCUGAUGUGUUGAUUGAUUUUUUAAUUUAUUCCAGUUAUUGAAAGAAAAUUUUAGGGGAGUGUUGAUAAUCUUUCAUUGAUAUUGGAUCUGUUUAAUCAUGUAUCAACUCUCUCAAGAAGUAUUUUGUUACAUUCCAGAAUUCUAUGCUCAAGUCUCCUUGCGAUCUGUUGGCUUCCCCCUAAAUCUUGUGUUUUGGUCCUGCAUAUAAUUUGUUGUUAAGAGAGUUCCCCGUUUUGAUAAUUAUUUGGCUUAUAUUUAUUGGAUUGAGAAUUUAUGUGAUUCACUGUCUGAGUUUCUUUGUUUUUAGACGAAUCGGAUAAAUUCUUCUGUGGAGGUUUCUAAAUGUUGUUUAUUAUAUCCUAAUUCCAAUGAUUUUGGCUCUGUAUCUGUCNACUUACCCUG
rnacentral:lncRNA from 1 species